GUUGAUUUGGUAGAAAGGAAUAGAGUGCAGGAGGUUGUGGGUUCGAAUCCCACCAUCAACA
rfam:Lupinus angustifolius cultivar Tanjil chromosome LG16, whole genome shotgun sequence.